ACUUAUAAAAUGCAUAGGAAUAAACUCACUACACAUGGCUUUAUAAUGAGUGCAUUUAGUGCUUGUCACCUGGCUUUCCAGGAGACCAAAGCCCUCUCUCCAUAGUACAGGAAUCUUUCCCCAUACUGCAAAGCUGCACUGAAGAGGGACUACAUGGCCCAUUCAAUUGUCUCCCAUGCAAAACUACCAGCAAGGGGCCAAACAUUGCCAACGGUGGUUGUGCGUGAUACUGACAACUGGACUGAGACAAUAGCUCAUUUACAAUAAUAAUAAUCCCUAGCUCUUAUAUAGCACUUUUAAUCCAUAGAUAUCAAAGUGCUUUACAAAGGAGGUCAGUAUCAUUAUCCCCAUGUUACAGAUGGGGAAACUGAGGCAUGAGAAGCAACAAUCACCCUGCAGCAAUGCUGGGAGCAGAACCCAGCUCUCCUGAGUCCCAGCCCAGUGUGCUCCCCACUAGGCCCCACACUGCACCCCAGCCAUGAAACAAUUGUCAGAUGGUAGCAACUUUCCACCACUACUGACCUGUGGCUGGACUGACUAGGUGAUCUAAAGGGGAAAGGCUUUAUAUUCCAUUAUCACAUAAUUCCUCCAGUUUCAAAUAUUAAAUUAAUCCCUGUCUUUUCAGAUCAGCUCAGUCCAUUCUUGAAAUAAAUGAGGUAUAUAACAGCUUGAAAUCAAAGAAGAAUUCAGAUCAGCUGUUAAAAAAUUCUGUCAUGGUUGAUUAAUCUAUGAAUUAUUCAUCCCAGUGGUAGCUCUGGAUUGUUCAGCAGAGACACACUAUGCUGAUGGUGAAGUACCUCACCCAGCAAGGUGGAAGAAGAUAUAUACCAGUCUUUGGAACGGCCGGGGAACUUUACAGCAGGGAGUGGAAUGUUGCACGCAGCCAUUGAUGAAGCGAGCCAGUGCCUCUGCAAAGAAUCAAAGCAGUACAAAGUCUUUUAAUCUGAUACCAUGCGAAGAGCUGAUGUAAAGAGCUGCACAGAAUGCUCCAUUUGCAGCACAGGGCAGAAGGAAGUUUUAUUGGUCCUACAGAACUCUGGAACAAUGCUGCACAUUCUUAUGCGUCAUCUACUGGUACCUUAUCUACUAACUAACUAAUUUACAGAUAUCUCUUUUAUAUAGCACCCCUGUAACGGUUUGGAACUGGCCUCAAAGCCUGCAAACUACAUCCCCUGGAGCCCUUCAGCCAGCCCCCUGUCCCCAGCCUAGUGCUCAAGAGAGCAUUCGGCUGGAAUCCAUGGGGGAAAAUGAAGCUCCUGGGCUCGGUUGCCCUCUAUCCUUUUCCCCUCCAGCCACUCCACACACGCACAAAGCAGAGCAAGAUUUUACUCUAACUAAACUUCAGUAAAUCUCUUGUCAUUUUUCACUGCUUAAUUGCUGCCUUUCCCCAAAUUGCCAGUUUUGUUUCCUGCCAAAAAAAAAAUGGUACUUUUUUCCCCUUUCUGCGAGAUCACAGUUAUAAU